CUGUUAAGAUCAUCUUUUGCUUGUUCUGUUUGGUGAAGUAUCCAUCUUGGCAAAAUAGUCAGUUUGCCUCCGUCCUUCCAAAUAUAUUGGAACUACUCUCCUGGAGCCACGUUCCUCCUACUCAGUAAAGGAGAGCAAGUCAUGCUGAAGCUAGAUUGCAUAUACUUCUUGGUAACUGUGGAGUAAAAGAAGUGAACACUAAGGUUUCUA